CGGGGGGGCAAGCGUUGUUCGGAAUUACUGGGCGUAAAGGGUGCGUAGGCGGCUCUCUAAGUCGGAUGUGAAAACUCUGGGCUCAACCCAGAGCCUGCAUCCGAAACUGGAGGGCUAGGGUUCUGGAGGGGAAAGCGGAAUUCCUGGUGUAGCGGUGAAAUGCGUAGAUAUCAGGUGGAACACCGGUGGCGAAGGCGGCUUUCUGGACAGAUACCGACGCUGAGGCACGAAAGCUAGGGGAGCAAACAGGAUUAGAUACCCUGGUAGUCCUAGCCCUAAACUAUGGAUACUUGCUGUGGGGGGGAUUGAAGCCCCUUGUGGCGAAGCUAACGCAUUAAGUAUCCCGCCUGGGGAGUACGGUCGCAAGGCUG
rnacentral:rRNA from 1 species